rnacentral:rRNA from 1 species
UACGAAGGGGGCUAGCGUUGUUCGGAAUCACUGGGCGUAAAGGGCGCGUAGGCGGCCAUAUAAGUCGGGGGUGAAAGCCUGUGGCUCAACCACAGAAUUGCCUUCGAUACUGUAUGGCUCGAGACCGGAAGAGGUAAGUGGAACUGCGAGUGUAGAGGUGAAAUUCGUAGAUAUUCGCAAGAACACCAGUGGCGAAGGCGGCUUACUGGUCCGGUAUUGACGCUGAGGUGCGAAAGCGUGGGGAGCAAACAGGG